rnacentral:ncRNA from 1 species
GCAGAGUAGGGACCCGCGCGUAAGGCUGCACGCACCGUGCAGCCGCAGUGCCUGACCAACGGGGAGUUGUGGCAGGACGAAGUGGCCGAAAGGCCCGCGGUGCGGCUCCCGCAUCCCACUGC